rnacentral:rRNA from 1 species
AGAGUUUGAUCCUGGCUCAGAUUGAACGCUGGCGGAAUGCUUUACACAUGCAAGUCGAACGGCAGCACGGGUGCUUGCACCUGGUGGCGAGUGGCGAACGGGUGAGUAAUGCACCGGAACGUAUCCAAUAAUGGGGGAUAACGCACCGAAAGGUGUGCUAAUACCGCAUACGCCCUGAGGGGGAAAGCGGGGGAUCGUAAGACCUCGCGUUAAUGGAGCGGCCGAUGCCGGAUUAGCUAGUUGGUGAGGUAAAGGCUCACCAAGGCGACGAUCCGUAGCUGGUCUGAGAGGACGACCAGCCACACUGGAACUGAGACACGGUCCAGACUCCUACGGGAGGCAGCAGUGGGGAAUUUUGGACAAUGGGCGAAAGCCUGAUCCAGCCAUUCCGCGUGAGUGAAGAAGGCCUUCGGGUUGUAAAGCUCUUUCGCAAGGAAAGAAAACUUAUCUCCUAAUACGAGGUGAGGAUGACGGUACCUUGAUAAGAAGCACCGGCUAACUACGUGCCAGCAGCCGCGGUAAUACGUAGGGUGCGAGCGUUAAUCGGAAUUACUGGGCGUAAAGCGUGCGCAGGCGGUUUUGUAAGUCAGAUGUGAAAUCCCCGGGCUCAACCUGGGAACUGCGUUUGAAACUACAAGGCUAGAGCGUAGAAGAGGGGGGUAGAAUUCCACGUGUAGCAGUGAAAUGCGUAGAGAUGUGGAGGAAUACCGAUGGCGAAGGCAGCCCCCUGGGCUAACACUGACGCUCAUGCACGAAAGCGUGGGGAGCAAACAGGAUUAGAUACCCUGGUAGUCCACGCC